GCCUAGGUUCAUAAUCACUUCAAGCCAAAGCAAGCUUUUAAAUCGUUUAUCCCACAGGCUUUAGUGUGAAUUCGUUGAGAUAGAAAGACACCGGCAGAAUUCUUAAAGCAAAAGAUAUAUGUUUGGGGGUGCAUCAAAGUUACCCCCAAAAAGGAUUGUGAAAGCAACUUCAAGGGAUUGAUAGGUCAGAGUCUGAAAGCCAGCCAUAGGCUUUUGAGGAACUUUUAUGAACUUAAAGCUCUCCAAUGACUCCAGGGUGGCCUGAGAGUCAACGGUUCUUGGAUAUAAAGCCAUGGGCUUGGCAGCAGUGCUGUGAACCAGAAGAGCAAUUCACUCAGUCUGUGCAUACCAAUGGCCUCCUCUCAGCUUUGCUAGGCAGUAGUAGGAGGCUUACUAGGGACAUUCCCUGAUCUAGUAUGCCCGGAAUAGCUCUGCAGUCCACACGGCUGACCUGGGAGUUGGAGGUGAAUUCGGAGUGCAGCUAUAAGAUGUGUGAAGACUCUAGACCACAUUCUAAAGCGCCUUUGAUUACACUGCAGUGCCUGUUCCUGUGGAAUGAAAAUGUGACGAUCCUAAAGUGUCGGAAAAAGAUAAUUAAACUCACUCGUUCAUUUCUCAGAUUAUUUUUCCCUUUUGUCUAUUGAGCUUCAAGUUACUCAGAAUGUCUAAUUUUCUUUUUAAAAAAAAUCUGUUAAAUAAAGCAAAACAAAAGAAAGAAAGAAAGAAAGAA
rnacentral:lncRNA from 1 species